rnacentral:rRNA from 1 species
GACGAACGCUGGCGGCGUGCUUAACACAUGCAAGUCGAACGGAAAGGCCCUGCUUUUGUUGGGUGCUCGAUUGGCGAACGGGUGAGUAACACGUGAGUAACCUGCCCUUGACUUUGUGAUAACUUCAGGAAACUGGGGCUAAUACCGGAUAGGAGCUCCUGCUGCAUGGUGUGGGUUGGAAAGUUUCGGCGGUUGUGGAUGGACUCGCGGCUUAUCAGCUUGUUGGUGGGGUAGUGGCUUACCAAGGCUUUGACGGGUAGCCGGCCUGAGAGGGUGACCGGCCACAUUGGGACUGAGAUACGGCCCAGAAUCCUACGGGAGGCAGCAGUGGGGAAUAUUGCACAAUGGGCGGAAGCCUGAUGCAGCAACGCCGCGUGCGGGAUGACGGCCUUCGGGUUGUAAACCGCUUUCGCCUGUGACGAAGCGUGAGUGACGGUAAUGGGUAAAGAAGCACCGGCUAACUACGUG